GAUCAAGUAAUUAAGGGCUUACGGUGGAUACCUAGGCAUUCAGAAGCGAUGAAGGGCGCGGAAAUCAGCGAAAUGCUUCGGGGAGCUGACACUCAAGCUUUGAUCCGGAGGUCCCCGAAUGAGGAAACUCCUUGUACUAUCUGUUGAAUCCAUAGACAGAUCAAGAGCAAACUCGGUGAACUGAAACAUCUUAGUAACCGAAGGAAAAGAAAGCAAACGCGAUUCUCUAAGUAGCGGCGAGCGAAAGGGGAGAAGCCUAAACUAUUAACUUAUUGUUAAUAGGGUUGUGGGACAACAUUAAGGUAUAGAGCGAAUUAGGUGAAGCAACUGAAUAUUGCACCAUAGAGGGUGAAAGUCCCGUAUCCGAAAAUUCUAACUAACCAGUUGUAUCCCGAGUAGCAUGGGACACGUGAAAUCCCGUGUGAAUCUGCGAGGACCACCUCGUAAGGCUAAAUAUUCCUGGAUGACCGAUAGCGUAACAGUACCGUGAGGGAAAGGUGAAAAAGAACCCCGGGAGGGGAGUGAAAUAGAACAUGAAACCGUAAGCCUACAAGCAGUAGAAGGACGACUUAACGUCUGACUGCGUGCCUGUUGAAGAAUGAGCCGGCGACUUAUAGGUAGUGGCAGGUUAAGGUAAGCGAUUACUGGAGCCCUAGCAAAAGCGAGUUUGAACAGAGCGUUUUGUCACUAUCUAUAAACCCGAACCCGGGUGAUCUAACCAUGGCCAGGGUGAAGCUUGGGUAAAACUAAGUGGAGGCCCGAACUGAUCGAUGUUGAAAAAUCGUCGGAUGAGUUGUGGUUAGCGGUGAAAUGCCAAUCGAACCCGGAGCUAGCUGGUUCUCCCCGAAAUGUGUUGAGGCGCAGCGGUUAAGAUUAUAACUUAGGGGUAAAGCACUGUUUCGGUGCGGGCUGCGAGAGCGGUACCAAAUCGAUGCAAACUAAGAAUACUAAGCGAAUACUUAACCAGUUAGACAGUGGGGGAUAAGCUCCAUUGUCAAGAGGGAAACAGCCCAGACCACCAGUUAAGGCCCCAAAAUAAUAGCUAAGUGGUAAAGGAGGUGGGAGUGCUUAGACAACCAGGAGGUUUGCCUAGAAGCAGCAAUCCUUUAAAGAGUGCGUAAUAGCUCACUGGUCAAGCGCUCUUGCGCCGAAAAUGAAAGGGACUAAGCUAUUUGCCGAAGCUGUGGGAUGUGAUAAAUGCAUUCGAUAAAAAUUCUUAUACGAUAUGUGAUUUAUACAUCGGUAGGGGAGCGUUCCGUUAUAGGGUGAAGCACGAGCGUGAGAGCGUGUGGACGAAACGGAAGUGAGAAUGUCGGCUUGAGUAGCGAAAACAUUGGUGAAAAUCCAAUGCCCCGAAAACCCAAGGGUUCCUCCGCAAGGCUCGUCCACGGAGGGUUAGUCAGGACCUAAGGCGAGGCCGAAAGGCGUAGUCGAUGGAUAACGGGUUAAUAUUCCCGUACCGUUAAUGGUUAGUGUUGAGGGACGGAGAAGGCUAGACCAGCCGGAUGGUGGUUACCGGUUUAAGUGAACAAAGUGAUGAGAGGUGGUGAAAACACCUUGAGCUGAGACACGAUGAAGAGGUACUAUGGGUACUAUUUAUAGUUCCACGAGUAGUACUGAACUGGUUGAUGUCAUGCUUCCAAGAAAAGCUCAAAACACGUUAAGCCAUUAAUGCUUGUACCCAAAACCGACACAGGUGGGUAAGUAGAGAAUACUAAGGGGAGCGAGAGAACUCUCUCUAAGGAACUCGGCAAAAUAGCCCCGUAACUUCGGGAGAAGGGGUGCCCUUUUAAUAAGGGUCGCAGUGAUCAGGCCCAGGCGACUGUUUAUCAAAAACACAGGUCUCCGCCAAUUCGUAAGAUGAUGUAUGGAGGCUGACGCCUGCCCAGUGCCGGAAGGUUAAGGAAGUUGGUCAGCCGUAAGGUGAAGCUGGCAACCGAAGCCCCGGUGAACGGCGGCCGUAACUAUAACGGUCCUAAGGUAGCGAAAUUCCUUGUCGGGUAAGUUCCGACCCGCACGAAAGGCGUAACGAUCUGGGCACUGUCUCGGAGAGAGACUCGGCGAAAUAGACAUGUCUGUGAAGAUGCGGACUACCUGCACCAGGACAGAAAGACCCUAUGAAGCUUUACUGUAGCCUGAUAUUGGGUUCGGGCUCUUCUUGCGCAGUAUAGGUGGGAGGCUAAGAAAGUUUCUUCGUGGAGAGACUGGAGCCAACAGUGAGAUACCACUCUGGAAGAGCUAGAAUUCUAACUUUAAGCCGUUAUCCGGCUAAAGAACAGUGUCAGGUGGGCAGUUUGACUGGGGCGGUCGCCUCCUAAAAAGUAACGGAGGCGCGCAAAGGUUCCCUCAGGCUGGACAGAAAUCAGCCUUAGAGUGUAAAGGCAGAAGGGAGCUUGACUGUAAGACCCACAAGUCGAACAGGAACGAAAGUUGGCCUUAGUGAUCCGACGGUACCGAGUGGAAGGGCCGUCGCUCAACGGAUAAAAGUUACUCUAGGGAUAACAGGCUGAUCUCCCCCAAGAGUCCACAUCGACGGGGAGGUUUGGCACCUCGAUGUCGGCUCAUCGCAACCUGGGGCGGAAGUACGUCCCAAGGGUUGGGCUGUUCGCCCAUUAAAGCGGUACGUGAGCUGGGUUCAGAACGUCGUGAGACAGUUCGGUCCAUAUCCGGUGCAGGCGUUAGAGCAUUGAGAGGAGCUCUCCCUUGUACGAGAGGAUCGGGAGGGACACACCGCUGGUGUAUCAGUUAUCGUGCCAACGGUAAACGCUGGGUAGCCAUGUGUGGAUAGGAUAACCGCUGAAAGCAUCUAAGCGGGAAGCC
rnacentral:rRNA from 1 species